AGACAUAAAAGGGCAGAAUCGCGCAUGCGCAGGUGGUGCUGUCUGAAAUGAUUGCGUAUUCAUAGCUAUAAAGAAAGAGGACAACGUUCGUCGGGUCAUCUAGUAUGCAAUAUACUUAUGUCCAUAUGCAAGAAAAACAUUAAUUUGGAUUAUCCGUGUUUUCAAUUAUCCAUGCUUUGUCCAGUUCCAUGGAGCACAGAUAAUAGAGGUUCUACUGUACUGUGCACAAGUAUUUUUGGGGCACAACUGAACAUACCUCAUUUAUACAAACACACAAUAAGGUAAAUAAUAAAAUUGCAUUUCGUAACGAUUUAUU